UGGGGAAUAUUGCACAAUGGAGGGAACUCUGAUGCAGCGACGCCGCGUGAACGAAGAAGGCUUUCGAGUCGUAAAGAUCUUUUAUAUGGGAAGAUAAUGACGGUACCAUAAGAAAAAGCCCCGGCUCACUACGUGCCAGCAGCCGCGGUAAUACGUAGGGGGCUAGCGUUGUCCGGAAUCACUGGGCGUAAAGGGUUCGCAGGCGGAAAUGCAAGUCAGGUGUAAAAGGCAGUAGCUUAACUACUGUAAGCAUUUGAAACUGCAUAUCUUGAGAAGAGUAGAGGUAAGUGGAAUUUUUAGUGUAGCGGUGAAAUGCGUAGAUAUUAAAAAGAAUACCGGUGGCGAAGGCGGCUUACUGGGCUCAUUCUGACGCUGAGGAACGAAAGCGUGGGUAGCAAACAGG
rnacentral:rRNA from 1 species